UGAGCUGUGCUUCCGGGACUGAGCUGUGCUUCCGAGCCUUUCUUCCACCUUUUAAGAAAUUGGCUUUGUUGUCAGUCCAGGGCGCUAGCAGAAGUGCAGUCCACUCAUGUACACAGAGUGCCUGCUUCAGGACUUGCCUGCCCUUUCUGCCUAAAAAUCCCCAGGACAACGGAAGCUUUCUGACUAUUUUUUUAUCCUUUGUUUGACAGGGCUUCCGUGUUACUCAAAAUGAUAAGAAAAAAAUUCACAGUAGCUUCAGACCUUGUUACAUGUUUUAAUAUGCCAUCAGUGGAGCUUUCUUAACUUCCAGUGUUUUAUAGUAACAGGGUUCUUGCUUCCAGUGUCAUUGACAUCGCCAGUUAUGUAAACUGGAUGAGAACUAAUUCCCUUAAAUAUUAACCACCACUGUGAUAGCAUACAAUACAAGACCAGAGCUUAUAGAACAAAUAUAUUCUGCAAGGGGGAUUCGUUAGGUUGGUGUCUUUAUACAGAUAUUUCACAGCAUAAAGGAAUGCAAGACUUCCUCAACAAAUAUUCUACAACACCUGCGUUUUCACUAAAGCCCCUGAAAUCAUUCCCCCCACCAAUCUUUGGCUUCUCCCCAUUUUUCUUAUCAUCAGAGGCCAUGUUUCUUAAUUUGUGUGAGCCACAGUCUGCUUACUGCAGCAUCCAGGGCAGACAGUAGGCAUCUUCGGUCUGGUACAUGACAGUGAGCUGUGUCAGUGGCUCUUGGGCAGUGUUCAUGUGCAGAUGAAAGCAUUACAUUGGUUCCUGCUACGACAUACGUUUUUCUAGAGGAAGAAAUGAGACACAAGAAAUGUGUCUUAUUCGUAACCUCUAGAUGAGCACUGUCUAACUGACCUUCCUUCAAUGAUGGGAGUGUUCUCCCGUCCAUGAUGCCCGGCACAUGUGGUGACCAGAAGCCUGAGUGUGACAGAAGAGCAAGACCCCCAAAGAAAGAAGUGACUGCAUUUUGUUCCACAGCCAAGUGGACUUUGUAGAAAAAUGCAGUCUUCAUCUCUCAUCAAGGAAAUUUCUCUUUGCAACAAGAGACCAUUGUAGAAAAACACUACCAACCAAAACACAAAGUUGUGGAACCCAGUCCUGAUGGAAACAUCUACAACAUAAUUUCUUCAGCUAAGGCUCAGGGAUCACUGAAGAUCAGGAGGCAGAAAGAUUUGGGAGUCAGAGGGUUCAGGAGUUUGAUGCAAGAUCGUAUCUCCUAGGAAUGUCAGAAGUUACAUCCAUAAAGUCUCACCACAGUGCUGCCUAACCAUGACUGAAGAAGGACAAUGCCAGUAGACAUGAUAAUGUGGAUGGGGCUGGGGAAGCCCGUGAGGCCUCAGCCCUACAGAGAGAACGAUCGCCAACCAAGGAGUGCUGAGAGUGGGAGACACAGUCUUCUCCAGGGAAGAGCACACUUGCUCAUCCAGUACCAAGUGGUUAUCCCUGAAAGCAUAAAUACAAGUAACAGUAUACAUACUGAGCAGGUCGUGCUUAUGUAUUUAGGAAUAUAUGCAUGUACACACACAUGCACGUGCAUAAUAGCAAUUAAUGAAAUAGAGGCCAUGUGUUUGACAAAAGAGCAAGGGGGCUUUGUGAGAGGGUUUGGAGGGAAGAAAGGAAAGGGAGAAGUGUUGGAAUUAUAUUUCAAAAAGUAAAAGAAAUAAUUAAAAACUUA